AUUUUAGCUAUAACUAAUUUUUACCGAAUUACUAAAAGUUAUUAUCUCUAAAUUUAAAGGAUUUGGCGGUAAUUUAGUCCAGUCAGAGGAACCUGUGUAUUAAACGAUAAACCACGCAAAAUCUUACCUAAUUUCAGUUUGUAUACCGUCAUUGUCAGAUAACUUUCAAAAAAAAAGUUAUUGUAAUAAAUUUUAUUUAAUAUAUUAGAUCAAGGUGCAGCUUAUAAUUAGGUUCCUCAUGGGUUACAAUAAAAUUUAUUUAUUUACGUACGUGGAUAUUAAACUAUUCACUUAAGGAGGAUUUGAUAGUAAUUAUAGUUUAAUAAGCUAUAUUGAUAAAGGAUCUAAAUUAUGUACAUAUCGCCCGUCACUUUCAUAUUCAAAUGAAAUAAGUCGUAACAUAG
rnacentral:rRNA from 1 species